UUUUUAACAUUGCCAUCUGUUUUAAUUUCUGAAUAGUGAAUGACAAAAAAACACAAUGUCGUUACACGUUCAUUGAAUCUUUUUUAAUGUGUAGGCCUACCUACGUUAUCUUAAAUAGAUACAUUCCAGUCUAAUAGUGUUCAGUAGAAUCACUGCUCAGGGUAAUACAAAAAAUAAAUGUGUUUGUUGCCUCAAACCUUUAUUUUGAUAAUUUCGAGAUUGAUGGAACGUUUUAUAUCAGUAAAGAAUUGUAAACGUUAGUAGUUGAUGAACCAGUAAAACUUAAUCUCCACCAUACAACCCUUCAUGUAUUAAACACUUAAAGAAGGUCACAGUGACUACAUGUAAAGAUUCUCCCCAUGUGUGUGAGUACCGUGACUUUGUCUUGUCUGCUCUCCUCUCCUCUCUUCUCUUCUCUUCUCUUCCUCCUCUCUCUUCCUCCUCUCUCUUCUCCUCCUCCUUUCUCUUACCUCUGCUAUCCUCUCUAGCUCAUCUAGGAUUGUGUUCAUUAUCGUCUUUCAUUACGCAUUAAGUGUGUUCACAUGUCAAAAGUCACCCCGUUUAGAUGAAUCUAAAUAGAUGUUGUACAACUGAACUCCACCUGGGUGAGUUCGGCUGUAGUGAAUCACUAUGGUGACGGUGACGCUCCCGCUCGUGCGGAGUCCUCCUCCCAUAACCACGCCCACUGACUGCCUGGACGACGCGAGGAGAGGGAGAGAGACCCCGAAGCUGUUGGCACGAGAGCCGUGGACCUCGACCACACCUAUGAGCGGCCAGCAGCAUGGAAAUGUAUGAACAACCCCAUCACACGUUUGAAUAUAGUGUGUCAACUUCUCCCUGAUGGUCUGAAUAAGUCGCUAAGUGUGCCGUUAGUCGCCUUUCAAAUAAAGUCGCAAAGAGAGUCAAUGAUACGUGCACAACUGUUAAUGAUCUGUAAUGUUUGAUACUAUUAUUUUAGUCAUUCUGUUUAUUGUGUACUACAACCCAGUCAAACCAACUGAAUGUUCUCGUGUAUUCUAGCCUUUAGUAUACUUGCUGUCUUCGGACUAGUUUUGUCAAAAUAGUGUUUAUGUGAAUAUGUGAAUGGCAUCUUCACUGUGUUAAACCAUAUUUUAAAAGAUGCAAUUGUUCCUGUCUGGCUAUUAGCCCUGUAAUUGUCUACAGCUGUGGCUCAUAGGUUAAUUGAGCCACACCCAUUCUGGUGCUCCUUAAGAGGGCCAGAGUUCUAGACUGGAGGGAGGCUUGAGUUGUGCAAGUGAAUCGACUGUUGUGCUAUUGUUUGUUUUACGUAAGAAUAUGUUUUUCACCAACAACAUUGUGCAUCAAGUUUAUUUAAAUUGAUACCGGUGAGACACGUUAUCGAAAGAAGAUGUUAAAGACUUUUUGAAGUAAAGAGGGGCAUCUCAUCUGGACCUGAUGUCUAUCAUGGAUAUUUAACUGCAGUUCUGUGAGUAUCCCAACUUAACCAUGAAGAUGAACUGCGAACUGUAAGUCAAUAGUUUCUCAUUACUCUUGGGCACAUUGCUGUAUUUUGGCUUCCUGGUGAGUUAACCUGUUAGCUGAAGGUUGAUCUGAGUAGUAAGGAUGUUUUAUUGGUUCAUGGGCUACUUAGGCGUUUGGUUUUUGUUGGUUUUAAUGGUUUGUUAAAACGGUUAAAGGUUCCAAGUUAUUGUUGUAAGCUGGAGUAAUAGGUUGGGUUCUGAUGUCUUCAGUCUUCUUUCCAGCUACUCUCCUGAGCCCUGCAUCAUCUUCACAUGAGUGUUUCUUUACUGAUGAGGGUGUGGUCUGAGUGAGCAGAGGUACAUACUGGGAUACAGAGCUGUCUGAAGUCUACAGGUCUGUAGAUACGCCCCCUCUGGGGAAACUGAGUGUUUGAGAAACCAUAAUGACGUUGGUUACAUGGACUAGAAUGUUCUUUAAGAUGGAGACAGGGAUUCAGAAGGAGAAACACCAGGGGGAGAUGAGGGGGCUCCUCAUCUCAACGGCCAAAACACAACUUCAGUCUGACACAGAGAACCAUGGAACACAUUCAACAGUCCCCUCCAUGCAUCGUGACUCCUCAGGAACAGUUUCAUUUCCACGAAGGUCCUAUUUGGGGCCAUCCCCAUAUGGAUCCUGCUCCUCAAGAGCCACCCCCCUCCACUGGGUGGUCUUCUGAACAGAUGACCUACUUCCUGUCCUCAGGCUGACUAAAGCUGCACCGUUUGCAUCUGUGAAGGCCCCUCAUUCAGGAAACCACUGGACUACAAACACAUGACUUCAGAGACGUUGAAUCAACCUGGGACACAUUUUGGAGACGCCAAGCAUGAUCCAUCACCAAUGUGGGACGCCACUGAAGAAUGUUGUACAGAAUUUAUGUCUCUGGAGACAAUGAUGGUUCUGUUCUGGGUGUCCUGUCAGGAGUACCGGGGUUGGAUGAUGGAAUGUUAUUUGGCAGGAGGUUUUUACCCUGCAUGAGUGUUGGGCCUUUUAUGGCUCAGUGGUGUGUGUGUGUGUGUGGGUUUGACAUGAGAUGGAUGACUUUUAAGCAU